CUAAGGAAGCUGUGGAAUUGGAAGACGAUCGGUUCGCCGAUAUGACCUUUCCCGUGCUUUUUAGAACAAGAUCGGAUCAGUCAGAUCACGAUCGAAACGUAAUACGCCGCAGAGGUGCUUGCACCCUGACGGUAUGGCGAGACCCGCCGUCCACGUUUCUCUUUCUCACAAAGACAAGGACCACGCUGUUUUGGCUGUAGUUCACCCCGGAUGGGCCCGUAGCUCAGGUGGUUAGAGCGCACGCCUGAUAAGCGUGAGGUCGGCAGUUCGAGUCUGCCCGGGCCCACCAUUCGCCUACGGCUCAUGGUGAGCCCAGGCAGUCUCUUUAAGUUUGUUCUUCCUCGUGAUCUCUGAUCACUGCGGGGAGAACGGGCCGGGCCCGGCGGAGCUUUCCGUUUGGGUAUCGAAACCUGAUGGGGCUGUAGCUCAGCUGGGAGAGCACCUGCUUUGCAAGCAGGGGGUCAGCGGUUCGAUCCCGCUCAGCUCCACCAAGGUUUUGGUGUUGAUGGCUGGGGGAUCUGUUCCUUGUCUUUGGGGAAAAUAAAGUUUGCAUCGUCUCUGCUGAGACUGAUGCCUGUUCUGCUAAAAUUGUGAAGAGAAGAUAUGUCUGGAAGCUUCCAGGUGUUGACGGCGAUUGUCGAAAGACGGUCGGUGUCGGCGUCCGAGCCCGGUCCUUUUGAAGCCAUCGAUGGUCUAGCCGACCGGAGAUGGAAGAGGGGCUGGAGGUAGGAGGGAAGUCUUGUCGUUCAAGGCAUGGAUGUUGUUGGGGUGUCCUUCGGGAUGCCCUUCUGGCGUUCAUGGCCGAUUGGUGUUGCCUGACCGCGCAUCACCGGACAGAUCUCGAGAAGCUGGUCUUAAGAUUUGGCGCAAGCGAACCGCUCGGCGUGGUUCCAAUAAAGCGACCAAAUCGAACACGUCGAUGGCAUCUGAUUGGCUCGGUUGUAAAAGGUAACCGGGUUUUUGGACUGGCGGUGCGGCAAACGAAAGUUACCCGCAUGGCCAGAUUUGGCACCCCUUCGAGCGAGAGCGAGAAGGAAAGGUUUGCCAAAUCCCAAUAAGGAUGAGCAUUGGCAAUGAGAAC
rnacentral:tRNA from 1 species